GUGCUCACUUCAGCAGCACAUAUAAUAAUACUGGAUUAAAGAGAUUAGUGUGGCCCCUCUGCAAGGAUGACACAUAAAUUUGUGAAGGGUUCUUUUUUUAA
rnacentral:snRNA from 1 species